rnacentral:ncRNA from 1 species
GGUGUCCGCUGGACCUAACAGGGAAGCUGGGUGAAAAUCCCACGCAGUCCCGCUGCCGUGAGAGUGGAGCGUCUACGCAAUCAUGCCACUGGACCUUGGGAAAGGGGGUCUGGGAAGGCGCGUGGGGGCGAUGAGCCUCGAGCCGGAAGACCUGCCCUGGCGU